rnacentral:rRNA from 1 species
UGCAACUCCCUAACCAUUGUGAACGUUACCUAAACCGUUGCUUCGGCGGGCGGCCCGGGUCCUUCCCGGCGCCCCUCGGCCCUCGCGGGCGCCCGCCGGAGGUAAACCAAACUAUUGCAUUGUAUGGCCUCUCUGAGUCUUCUGUACUGAAUAAGUCAAAACUUUCAACAACGGAUCUCUUGGUUCUGGCAUCGAUGAAGAACGCAGCGAAAUGCGAUAAGUAAUGUGAAUUGCAGAAUUCAGUGAAUCAUCGAAUCUUUGAACGCACAUUGCGCCCGCCAGUAUUCUGGCGGGCAUGCCUGUUCGAGCGUCAUUUCAACCAUCAAGCCCCGGGCUUGUGUUGGGGACCUGCGGCUGCCGCAGGCCCUGAAAUGCAGUGGCGGGCUCGCUGUCACUCCGAGCGUAGUAGUUACAUCUCGCUCUGGGCGUGCUGCGGGUUCCGGCCGUUAAAAGCCUUAUUUUACCCAAGGUUGACCUCGGAUCAGGUAGGAAGACCCGCUGAACUUAAGCAUAUCAAUAAGCCGGAGGAA